AUGAGAUUUCUGUCACCAAGCACCUACUUCUCUUCUCUGACAGUACAGUGAGCUUGUGAUGACUCACUCAGAUGUAGGAGUCUACAGCUGGUCUGAUGAAUCCUGCCUGGAGUCUCUUGAAGACAGUGACAUUCUCAGCACUCAUCAAGGAUGUCACUAGUGCCAGCAACCAGAGCUGACUGCAGACAAGCUGUUCAAAUGAGAAGUUUCUGCCACAGGUUUUGCAAUGUACUCCACAGGAGCAGCAAGUGCAGCAGAGAUGUAUUUCUGCCAGUCACAUGAUUUGCCCAGAAAUCCUUUCCUGUGAGUCCUGGGGUGCAGCAUUCAGCCUCUCUACACCUGUGCAAGGGCAUA